rnacentral:lncRNA from 1 species
NNNNNNNNNNNNNNNNNNNNNNNNNNNNNAGGCAGAGGUUGCAGUGAGCAGAGAUCCUGCCACUGCACUCCAGCCCAGGCAACAAGAGCGAGACUGUGUCUCAAAAACAAACAAACAACAACAACAACAAAAGGAAAGAAUCAGACUGGCUUGGGGCCGGCUCCCAGGACUCAUGCCUGGCACAGACACCAUCUGCCUGGCAGGGCAAAGAAAGGCGUCUGUGAGUGUGGGAGGAUUCCGAGUCUAACACCCUGAGCCCAGCCAGGAAGGGGCCAGGAAGGCCUCCUCGUGAACAACGAAUGAAACAGAACCCAGAUCUCAGACAGGGCAGGGAAGGGGAGGGGUACCAUGUCAAGCAGCACUCUGUGUAAGUCGGCACCUGCACACACUGGCAUGCAGACAUGUGUAUUGUGCGUAUAUGGACAUGUUAGAAAUGGAUGUGUGCAUGUGUCUGCAUGUGUUUGUGCAUUUAUGCACACACACUACAUGGGCAUGCACAUCAUGUACGUAUAUGUUUGCAUAUGUGCACGUGUGUGUACGUGCAUAUGUUCGUGUGUGCAUGCACAGAGCAUGCGUGUGUGUGUAUACUUGCAUGCAUGCUAACAUAUGGUAGAGAAUAAAUAAUGAUCACCUCUCUGGAACUGGGGAAAGUAAGUGUUAAACAGAUUUUCGACAGGAAAUGCUGCUGCAAGGAAUUCAUCCGUAGGCUAGCACUACAACCUGGAGGCAGGGAGCAGUGAGGAGUGGAAAUCUUCCCAUCAGAAGUGAGGAAGGCUGGAUACGGUGGCUCACACCAGUAAUCCCAGCACUUUGGGAGGCAAAGGCAGGAGGAUCACUUGAGCCCAGGAGUUUGAGACCAGCCUGGGCAACUUAGCAAGACCUUGUCUUCAAAAAAAAAAAAUUUUUUUUUUUUACAAGGAACUACACAGAUGGCAAAACUCAAAAAAAAAAAAAAAGUGGGAAGAGGGGAGAAAGGGAGAUCAAUGUCUUCUACAGAUUUCAUCUUGUCGGGUGGAGAGUGUGAGGAGUAGAGCCACGUGGUAGGAAACUGUUGGUGUCUUGUUUGCGAAUGACUUUGGAACAAAGACCACCUGAUAAGCACAGUUAAGGAAUGAAAACACACAGGGACUUCCCAGGGAGCCAGGAGGACACUGGGGGAGCAGGAACACCUGCCUUUCCCAUGGGGCCCUGGUGUGCCCAGCCCUCCACUUCAUGUCUGACCCACGUGCUCUCCGGCUGACCUCCUGGGACUCGCACCCGGCCCCCACUUGGUAUCUGAGCCACGUGCUUCCCGGCCCCCACUUGGUAUCUGAGCCAUGUACUUCCCGGCUGACCUCCCGCAACGUGAAGACUACUCUCGCUCCCUUCAAGGCCACUGUCCCCACCGCAGCCAGAGAGGUGUUUUAUAGUUCAAAUCCUGCCCAGGCACCAUCUUGCCUAAAGGCAGCCCUGAGCCGGAAUCUGUGUGCUUUGCUGAUGGGACUGUAAAAUGGCGCAGUCACUUUUGAAACAGUCUGACAGUUCCUCAAAAGCUUAAACAUAGACUUACCACAUACCCAGCAAUUCCACGCCCAGGCUCUGCCCCAGGAGAAUUGAAAACAUCUAUCCACACGGAAACUUGUACACAAAUGUUCACAGUUGCACUAUUUAUCAUCAUCAGGAUGCCUGUAAUUGAUGAACAGAUGAACAAAUUGUGCUAUAUCCAUAUAAUUAAAUAUUAUUCAGUCAUAAAAAAGAAUGAGGCCGGGUGUGGUAGCUCACGCCUGUCAUUGCAGCACUUUGGGAGGCUGAGGAGGGCGGAUCACAAGGUCAGGAGAUCGAGACCAUCCUGGUUAACACGGUGAAACCCCGUCUCUACUAAAAAUA